rnacentral:rRNA from 1 species
GGAAGCCACGGCUAACUACGUGCCAGCAGCCGCGGUAAUACGUAGGUGGCAAGCGUUGUCCGGAAUUACUGGGUGUAAAGGGAGCGUAGGCGGGCUUGCAAGUCAGCUGUGAAAUUCAAGGGCUUAACCCUUGACAUGCAGUUGAAACUACAGGUCUUGAGUGAAGUAGAGGUAGGCGGAAUUCCGAGUGUAGCGGUAAAAUGCGUAGAUAUUCGGAGGAACACCGGUGGCGAAGGCGGCCUACUGGGCUUUUACUGACGCUGAGGCUCGAAAGUGUGGGGAGCAAACAGGAUUAGAUACCCUGGUAGUCCACACCGUAAACGAUGAUUGCUAGGUGUGGGGGGUCUGACCCCCUCCGUGCCGCAGUUAACGCAAUAAGCAAUCCACCUGGGGAGUACGGCCGCAAGGCUAAAACUCAAAGGAAUUGACGGGGGCCCGCACAAGCAGUGGAUUAUGUGGUUUAAUUCGAAGCAACGCGAAGAACCUUACCAGGGCUUGACAUCCGACUAACGAAGCAGAAAUGCAUUAGGUGCCCUUCGGGGAAAGUCGAGACAGGUGGUGCAUGGUUGUCGUCAGCUCGUGUCGUGAGAUGUUGGGUUAAGUCCCGCAACGAGCGCAACCCUUGUCGUUAGUUGCCAGCACUUUGGGUGGGCACUCUAACGAGACUGCCGGCGACAAGUCGGAGGAAGGUGGGGAUGACGUCAAAUCAUCAUGCCCCUUAUGUCCUGGGCUACACACGUACUACAAUGGC